rnacentral:rRNA from 1 species
UACGAAGGGGGCUAGCGUUGCUCGGAAUUACUGGGCGUAAAGCGCACGUAGGCGGCUUUCUAAGUCGGGGGUGAAAUCCUGGAGCUCAACUCCAGAACUGCCUUCGAUACUGGAGAGCUUGAGUCCGGGAGAGGUGAGUGGGAACUGCGAGUGUAGAGGUGAAAUUCGUAGAUAUUCGCAAGAACACCAGUGGCGAAGGCGGCUCACUGGCCCGGUACUGACGCUGAGGUGCGAAAGCGUGGGGAGCAAACAGG